rnacentral:rRNA from 1 species
AGAGUUUGAUCCUGGCUCAGGAUGAACGCUAGCUACAGGCUUAACACAUGCAAGUCGAGGGGCAGCAUGAACUUAGCUUGCUAAGUUUGAUGGCGACCGGCGCACGGGUGAGUAACGCGUAUCCAACCUACCCUUGUCCAUCGGAUAACCCGUCGAAAGGCGGCCUAACACGAUAUGCGGUUCACAGCAGGCAUCUAACGUGAACGAAAUGUGAAGGAGAAGGAUGGGGAUGCGUCUGAUUAGCUUGUUGGCGGGGUAACGGCCCACCAAGGCGACGAUCAGUAGGGGUUCUGAGAGGAAGGUCCCCCACAUUGGAACUGAGACACGGUCCAAACUCCUACGGGAGGCAGCAGUGAGGAAUAUUGGUCAAUGGACGAGAGUCUGAACCAGCCAAGUAGCGUGCAGGAUGACGGCCCUAUGGGUUGUAAACUGCUUUUAUAAGGGAAUAAAGUGAGUCUCGUGAGACUUUUUGCAUGUACCUUAUGAAUAAGGACCGGCUAAUUCCGUGCCAGCAGCCGCGGUAAUACGGAAGGUCCGGGCGUUAUCCGGAUUUAUUGGGUUUAAAGGGAGCGUAGGCCGUCUUAUAAGCGUGUUGUGAAAUGUCGGGGCUCAACCUGGGCAUUGCAGCGCGAACUGUGAGACUUGAGUGCGCAGGAAGUAGGCGGAAUUCGUCGUGUAGCGGUGAAAUGCUUAGAUAUGACGAAGAACUCCGAUUGCGAAGGCAGCCUGCUGUAGCGCAACUGACGCUGAAGCUCGAAAGCGUGGGUAUCGAACAGGAUUAGAUACCCUGGUAGUCCACGCGGUAAACGAUGGAUGCUCGCUGUUUGCGUCUGACGUAAGCGGCCAAGCGAAAGCGUUAAGCAUCCCACCUGGGGAGUACGCCGGCAACGGUGAAACUCAAAGGAAUUGAC